UACGUAGGGUGCGAGCGUUAAUCGGAAUUACUGGGCGUAAAGCGUGCGCAGGCGGUUUUGUAAGCCAGAUGUGAAAUCCCCGGGCUUGACCUGGGAAUGGCAUUUGGGACUGCAAGGCUUGAGUGCGGCAGAGGAGACUGGAAUUCCUGGUGUAGCAGUGAAAUGCGUAGAUAUCAGGAGGAAUACCGAUGGCGAAGGCAGGUCUCUGGGCUGACACUGACGCUCAUGCACGAAAGCGUGGGGAGCAAACAGG
rnacentral:rRNA from 1 species